AAGUCGUAACAAGGUUUCCGUAGGUGAACCUGCGGGAUCAUUAACAGAGUGUACGGUCUACAGGAAUCGUAGAAGCGCUAUCCUUGCACAAUCAAUGACACUUUCCGACACUGACUGCUUGGAGAAACAUUGCCUAUAGAACUACCGCUCGAUUGUAACUGUUCCAAUGUUCGCACGUAGCCAGAGGUCUCUGAAUCACUACAAAUUUCCGGGCUAUGAUUUAUCAGAGAUUGCGAACUACGCGGGUUACAAGAGCAGGAUGAAGGUUCACGGGGGGGGUUUUAACGUUUGGAUACGGGGCAGGAGCUUUGCCAAAGGGUCCCCAUGCCCCCUAAUAACCCCACAGUUUAAUGUGAAGCUCAAUGUAAUACAUUGGGUAAAAAAACCGAACAACUGUUAACAAUGGAUAUCUUGGUUCUC
rnacentral:misc_RNA from 1 species